rnacentral:rRNA from 1 species
CCAUCCUUUAAAGAAAGCGUAAUAGCUCACUGGUCUAGUGAUUUUGCGCGGAAAAUAUAACGGGGCUAAAGUAAGUACCGAAGCUGUAGACUUGCGCACAACUUAGAUUAUUUAAGUUUAGAAUAUGAGAAACUAAGUUAUAUGUUUAGUUAUAUUUUUACUGAUUUUUAUAGAGUAAAGAUAGAAAUAAAACUUAGUAAAAUCAGUAAAAAUAUUCUUAGACUAAAGUUAAGUAGUUUAAGUUGUGUGCAAGUGGUAGGAGAGCGUUCUAUUUGCGUCGAAGGUAUACCGGUAAGGAGUGCUGGAGCGAAUAGAAGUGAGCAUGCAGGCAUGAGUAGCGAUAAUUAAUGUGAGAAUCAUUAACGCCGUAAACCCAAGGUUUCCUACGCGAUGCUCGUCAUCGUAGGGUUAGUCGGGUCCUAAGCCGAGUCCGAAAGGGGUAGGCGAUGGCAAAUUGGUUAAUAUUCCAAUACCAACAUUAGUGUGCGAUGGAAGGACGCUUAGGGCUAAGGGGGCUAGCGGAUGGAAGUGCUAGUCUAAGGUCGUAGGAGGUUAUACAGGCAAAUCCGUAUAACAAUACUCCGAGAACUGAAAGGCUUUUUGAAGUCUUCGGAUGGAUAGAAGAACCCCUGAUGCCGUCGAGCCAAGAAAAGUUUCUAAGUUUAGCUAAUGUUGCCCGUACCGUAAACCGACACAGGUGGGUGGGAUGAGUAUUCUAAGGCGCGUGGAAGAACUCUCUUUAAGGAACUCUGCAAAAUAGCACCGUAUCUUCGGUAUAAGGUGUGGUUCGCUUCGUACUAGGAUUUACUCCGAAAGCGAAGAAACUUACAACAAAGAGUCCCUCCCGACUGUUUACCAAAAACACAGCACUCUGCUAACUCGUAAGAGGAUGUAUAGGGUGUGACGCCUGCCCGGUGCUCGAAGGUUAAUUGAUGGGGUUAGCAUUAGCGAAGCUCUUGAUCGAAGCCCGAGUAAACGGCGGCCGUAACUAUAACGGUCCUAAGGUAGCGAAAUUCCUUGUCGGUUAAAUACCGACCUGCAUGAAUGGCGUAACGAGAUGGGAGCUGUCUCAAAGAGGGAUCCAGUGAAAUUGUAGUGGAGGUGAAAAUUCCUCCUACCCGCGGCAAGACGGAAAGACCCCGUGGACCUUUACUACAGCUUGACACUGCUACUUGGAUAAGAAUGUGCAGGAUAGGUGGGAGGCUUUGAGUAUAUGACGCCAGUUGUAUAUGAGCCAUUGUUGAGAUACCACUCUUUCUUAUUUGGGUAGCUAACCAGCUUGAGUUAUCCUCAAGUGGGACAAUGUCUGGUGGGUAGUUUGACUGGGGCGGUCGCCUCCCAAAUAAUAACGGAGGCUUACAAAGGUUGGCUCAGAACGGUUGGAAAUCGUUCGUAGAGUAUAAAGGUAUAAGCCAGCUUAACUGCAAGACAUACAAGUCAAGCAGAGACGAAAGUCGGUCUUAGUGAUCCGGUGGUUCUGUGUGGAAGGGCCAUCGCUCAAAGGAUAAAAGGUACCCCGGGGAUAACAGGCUGAUCUCCCCCAAGAGCUCACAUCGACGGGGAGGUUUGGCACCUCGAUGUCGGCUCAUCGCAUCCUGGGGCCGGAGCAGGUCCCAAGGGUAUGGCUGUUCGCCAUUUAAAGCGGUACGCGAGCUGGGUUCAGAACGUCGUGAGACAGUUCGGUCCCUAUCUGCCGUGGGCGUAAGAAGAUUGAAGAGAUUUGACCCUAGUACGAGAGGACCGGGUUGAACAAACCACUGGUGUAGCUGUUGUUCUGCCAAGAGCAUCGCAGCGUAGCUAAGUUUGGAAAGGAUAAACGCUGAAAGCAUCUAAGCGUGAAGCCAACUCUAAGAUGAAUCUUCUCUAAGCUCUCUAGAAGACUACUAGUUUGAUAGGCUGGGUGUGUAAUGGAUGAAAGUCCUUUAGCUGACCAGUACUAAUAGAGCGUUUGGCUUAUCUUUAAUAAAGCAU